rnacentral:tRNA from 1 species
AGUGAUGUAAUUCAUCUGGUAGAAAGCUUGCCUACCAUGCAUGAGGACCUGGGUUUGAUCCCCAGCACCCUA